rnacentral:rRNA from 1 species
GGCGUUAAGUUGCAGGGUAUAGACCCGAAACCCGGUGAUCUAGCCAUGGGCAGGUUGAAGGUUGGGUAACACUAACUGGAGGACCGAACCGACUAAUGUUGAAAAAUUAGCGGAUGACCUGUGGCUGGGGGUGAAAGGCCAAUCAAACCGGGAGAUAGCUGGUUCUCCCCGAAAGCUAUUUAGGUAGCGCCUCGUGAAUUCAUCUCCGGGGGUAGAGCACUGUUUCGGCUAGGGGGCCAUCCCGGCUUACCAACCCGAUGCAAACUGCGAAUACCGGAGAAUGUUAUCACGGGAGACACACGGCGGGUGCUAACGUCCGUCGUGAAGAGGGAAACAACCCAGACCGCCAGCUAAGGUCCCAAAGUCAUGGUUAAGUGGGAAACGAUGUGGGAAGGCCCAGACAGCCAGGAUGUUGGCUUAGAAGCAGCCAUCAUUUAAAGAAAGCGUAAUAGCUCACUGGUCGAGUCGGCCUGCGCGGAAGAUGUAACGGGGCUAAACCAUGCACCGAAGCUGCGGCAGCGAACGUAUCACUUAAAGCGAUUCAGCGGGUUACGAUUGACGGAGCGAAGCGACGUCAAAGCGUAUACAAAGUCGAGUCGGUUUAAGGAUACGUUCGUUGGGUAGGGGAGCGUUCUGUAAGCCUGUGAAGGUGGCCUGUGAGGGUUGCUGGAGGUAUCAGAAGUGCGAAUGCUGACAUAAGUAACGAUAAAGCGGGUGAAAAGCCCGCUCGCCGGAAGACCAAGGGUUCCUGUCCAACGUUAAUCGGGGCAGGGUGAGUCGACCCCUAAGGCGAGGCCGAAAGGCGUAGUCGAUGGGAAACGGGUUAAUAUUCCCGUACUUGGUGUUACUGCGAAGGGGGGACGGAGAAGGCUAUGUUGGCCGGGCGACGGUUGUCCCGGUUUAAGCGUGUAGGUGUGUGUUCCAGGUAAAUCCGGUUCACUUUAACACUGAGGCGUGAUGACGAGGCACUACGGUGCUGAAGCAACAAAUGCCCUGCUUCCAGGAAAAGCCUCUAAGCAUCAGGUAACAUCAAAUCGUACCCCAAACCGACACAGGUGGUCAGGUAGAGAAUACCAAGGCGCUUGAGAGAACUCGGGUGAAGGAACUAGGCAAAAUGGUGCCGUAACUUCGGGAGAAGGCACGCUGACACGUAGGUGAAGUGAUUUACUCAUGGAGCUGAAGUCAGUCGAAGAUACCAGCUGGCUGCAACUGUUUAUUAAAAACACAGCACUGUGCAAACACGAAAGUGGACGUAUACGGUGUGACGCCUGCCCGGUGCCGGAAGGUUAAUUGAUGGGGUCAGCGCAAGCGAAGCUCCUGAUCGAAGCCCCGGUAAACGGCGGCCGUAACUAUAACGGUCCUAAGGUAGCGAAAUUCCUUGUCGGGUAAGUUCCGACCUGCACGAAUGGCGUAAUGAUGGCCAGGCUGUCUCCACCCGAGACUCAGUGAAAUUGAACUCGCUGUGAAGAUGCAGUGUACCCGCGGCAAGACGGAAAGACCCCGUGAACCUUUACUAUAGCUUGACACUGAACAUUGAGCCUUGAUGUGUAGGAUAGGUGGGAGGCUUUGAAGCGUGGACGCCAGUCUGCGUGGAGCCGACCUUGAAAUACCACCCUUUAAUGUUUGAUGUUCUAACGUGGACCCGUAAUCCGGGUUGCGGACAGUGUCUGGUGGGUAGUUUGACUGGGGCGGUCUCCUCCUAAAGAGUAACGGAGGAGCACGAAGGUUGGCUAAUCCUGGUCGGACAUCAGGAGGUUAGUGCAAUGGCAUAAGCCAGCUUGACUGCGAGCGUGACGGCGCGAGCAGGUGCGAAAGCAGGUCAUAGUGAUCCGGUGGUUCUGAAUGGAAGGGCCAUCGCUCAACGGAUAAAAGGUACUCCGGGGAUAACAGGCUGAUACCGCCCAAGAGUUCAUAUCGACGGCGGUGUUUGGCACCUCGAUGUCGGCUCAUCACAUCCUGGGGCUGAAGUAGGUCCCAAGGGUAUGGCUGUUCGCCAUUUAAAGUGGUACGCGAGCUGGGUUUAGAACGUCGUGAGACAGUUCGGUCCCUAUCUGCCGUGGGCGCUGGAGAACUGAGGGGGGCUGCUCCUAGUACGAGAGGACCGGAGUGGACGCAUCACUGGUGUUCGGGUUGUCAUGCCAAUGGCACUGCCCGGUAGCUAAAUGCGGAAGAGAUAAGUGCUGAAAGCAUCUAAGCACGAAACUUGCCCCGA